rnacentral:rRNA from 1 species
UACGUAGGGAGCAAGCGUUGUCCGGAAUCAUUGGGCGUAAAGCGCGCGUAGGUGGCUUCGUAAGUCCGCUGUGAAAGUCAAAGGCUCAACCUUUGAAAGCCGGUGGAUACUGUGAAGCUAGGGUGCGGAAGAGGGAAGCGGAAUUUCCGGUGUAGCGGUGAAAUGCGUAGAUAUCGGAAGGAACACCAGUGGCGAAAGCGGCUUCCUGGUCCAGCACCGACGUCAGGCACGAAAGCGUGGGGAGCAAACAGG